ACCCCCAUCACGCGUUGUCUUUUCAUCUCUGUAAUUAUCUUCCCCGUCGCGCUGCUUCUUUUCCACAGCCGUAGCGACGAGGGAAGGCAACUAGAUCAAGGUUCACAUACAAGCCUAUAAGCAGGAGUGAGGCAGCUGCUGCACGUGUCUAGUCCCUCGUCGAGCAGUGAUCGAACUUUUUUUUACAGCUUCCACAGACUUACCCGCAAUCCUCUCUCUCGGGCUCACUUGAAAUCACAAAGCACAGCAGCCAUACACACCUCAUUUGGCGGCUGACUCGUGUCAGAGGCGUCCCAUAUCAUUUUUUUUUUGGGGGGGGGCGGGGAAGGGGGAGGGGUUCGCCCACAGAGAAAAAAAACAGAGCAAGGCAACAAAUUCAAAAAGUCAUUUCGUGGUUGGCGGGCGUAUCAGCGGCCAGACGGCGGAAGAACGCACGUCUCAGGGAAAGAGCACAUCGCCUACACACCGCAGCCCCUCUUAUCCGGUCGCGAAUGACAGAGAGGAAGGAGGACAGGAGAUAAAAACUUGUGAGUGCCAUAGAGACUUGCCUCCUCUCUUUUUUCUUUUUGGUGUGUGAGCGCUUCGUCAUUGUUCUUUCUUCUGUGGUUUGUUGUCUCUCAUUUCGAUGCUGCUUUCGCCGAGCGUCCACAUACGCCGCCCUCCUUUGCUUGUUUAUCUCUCUCUCGCUUCUGCUCAUACACCAUCGAUUGCCUUUCCACCUUCACGUCACACAAGCGUGCUGUGUAUUCGCACUGCACCCCGGCGCGAAGCCGUAAGUGAAGAGCUUAGCUCGUUGCGUGUUUCCUCACCCCCCUCCCCACCACCACCUCCUUCUACGUUAAGAGUGCUUAGGCAAGAGGGCGGAGAGGUCCGAGCAGACGUGCGUGCCUCGUUCUUUUUGCCAUCGAUACGUCGUGCCCGUUUCAUCUCUGCUCUGCUCCGUCUCGCGCCUUCUCGGCUCUCUUCUUGUCGAGCCAUCGUCGUCGGCCGACAUACGCAUACGCCUGCGGAGCGAGCGAAGGAGAGCGCGCGGCGGCGAUUCACGUAUAUAUAUAUAUAUAUAGACAUACAUCGGAAACCAAAACUUGCUCAGGUGUGUCUUUUUAUUGCUGUUGCUCUUCGUGUUUGGGCUCGGCUGCUUCGCUUUCCACGUUUGCGCUCAUAGAAGGCCCGCGGCUCUUUUCCCUCGGUCUCGAUUUUUCCUGUGUUCUCUGCUGUUUCCAGGGUGUCUCGGUUUUCGGUCGCUUUUAUUUUUCGUUUGGUUUCGUUGUCUUUACUGGUGCUCGUGUCUCUCUCUCUCUGUGUCUGUGUUUAGUUCUUGCAGUGCUGCCUCGUGUGUGCCCCACUCAUGUCCUCCAACCCGUACAUCGCACAGCACUAUGGGAGCUGUAUGGAGGUGGUGUCGAACGGGCAUGAGGACGAGGUAGACGCUGCGGUGGGAUUUCGGCGCUUCCCGAAUGCGCCGCACAUGACACACACCGUCUUCCGUCCCUCGAAGAACUUGACCGCCACCUCUGCCACGGCUGCGUCUUCAUCGGCCUUGGGCGUCCACAAUACCUACAAAACAUCGACGCCGGAUGCCCUUGCAAACUUGCGCGUGCACAAGUGUCUCCUGGUCGAUGAAUUUCCCUCACGUCCGCAUACGCCACAAGGCGCCAAGUCCGCCGCGUCACUACCACCGUUACUGCCGGCGGAUCGUCUCUCGGUCGGGUCCAGCGACGGCCUUCCUGAAAGAGGAACGGAGGUGUUUCGAGAGUGGGUGAAGGCGCCCACGAACUCCUCCACAUCCUCGUCUAACGGCGCUGACGGCGGCGAAACAGACGCGGCUGCAACCAACGGCAAUGCGCACGGCUCCCUCGAACUCGUCAGCGCGUCAGAGCUGGCGGCGUCGCGAGGCACAGAGGGCGGGCAGAGCUGCGCCUCUGCGUUGGUGCCACCUGGGACUAACGUCCCGGCAAAGACAGCGCUUGCGUCGUCUGAUCACUGCCCGUCGGUAUCCGUCUCGCCGGAAUCGCUACGUCUCGUACGGCCAAAAAGCUCAACGGCCUCUUUCACCCCUUUGCAGGCACCGGAAGCGUCCAGUGAGCCCACGGUCGACGGAGCUCUGCACCACUUACGCGACGUACUGGUGCAAGCGCAGCGCGUGCUGGAUAAAUCACGGAUAACCGGGGAUGCCCGUGCGCUUCCCGCGCCGCCGGCGAUGCCACCCAAGCCUGCGGAGUCAGCACAGCACCAGCAGCAGACGGCAGUCCUUCCGGCCACAACGUCCACUGGUUCGUCCUCUGGCGAGGAUCUGAUGCGGGAGGACUCACUAGAUUGCGUAUCGCCCCUCGCCAGCACGAGCGCGGCACUCUAUGCUAUAUCGCAAGCAGAGCGGGGAGUGGGUGUGCCUGGCGCGGCUUCGCCACCGUUCGCCGCCGGUAAGGUGGCCGAUAACGUCGCGGUGCCCGACGAAACCCGCUUCAUGGUGUUGUGCUCCGUCACUCACCCGUCAGCAAUCAUGCAGCGGCGUCUCCGUCGCCGUGGCCCAGCAAGCAGAGCGUCUAUGGAAGGACUGGCCUCGCCUCCGGCUCAUUCGCUGUUUGGCACGUGCGCAGAGACAGGGGCUAUACGCACGUCUUCAUGCCGCAUCGCCGAGGUGCCGAGCACAUCCGCCGCCGUAAGUGCAUCCACUGUUGCGCAGCCGGCAACAGCGGCCGGCCAACUUCAGCGCUCGUUGUCGCCGAACGAAGGUGGCAGUGAGCAUCCCAGCUUGCGCGCACCCACGCAGCGAAGUCCAGCUGAGGACUCCGUGAGCCGUCACUUACACGAGGAUCCGUCGCUCAUUCCGGGACUCGCCGAGUUUCUGCGGGCUGGAAACCCCAAUGGCUUUUCAGCCCUCAGCGCAGCUACCCACGCGGCGCCGCCUGCACUGGCGAAGGCGUCGCCGUCAGCACGCCGCCCUCGCCGCCGCUCUGGGCUCCCCGCCGCCGCCGCUCACGUUCCUGCUGUUUUGCUCGGUCAUUCACCAUCGUUGUUGCAACGCCGUGGCUCUAGUGGCACCGCACGGUCUCAGGCGGACCGUGCGGUGACCCCGUCGUUGCAUCUGCCAUACGCGCACACAGAGGGGAGCACGACAGUAGCGGACGUCUCGCCACGCCGCGGAUCUACCCGUGCCCGCCGUAUAGACUCGACGCCUAGUUACGCGCAGCCGACAGUGAGCUGGCUUUCCAAGGGGUCUGAGGCUUCCGCUGACCAGUUCCCAGUGAGCCGCAUAGCCUCGCCGCAGACGAGCCCCGUGAAGGAUCCGGGGACAGCAUCGCGUGACGCCGCACCAAGUGAACCGGCGCUACUGUAGAGAGUACUUCUUAGGUUUCUUUAUCUCCCUCGUGGUCACCGUGUAGUCUGCACACCUGUCUCUUUCCCAUGCGUCAUCACCAACGGGUGGCCGCGAUCACUGCAUUCCCGCAUUCGCACCGACGACAACAAUGACGCUCUUACAAUUCCUACUUGCGCUUCGGACCCUGAUGGCGGCGGCACAAAUCUCACGGUGCUUGGUAUCACAGGGCCCCGUACACCCCCACUCUGUGUGUGUGUGUAGGAGGAGGCCACGCGGCACCUCACCUCUGUCCCCUGCCAAUGUCAGAACCCUACUUCUUCUGGUGCGGACAGGGUCAAGCACCGACGACGUAGCGGCGGUCGGGGCGGUGUACCACUGCUGGCGUCGGCGACGCGGCCGUGGAUAGCGUUGUGCUGGGGCGGCCUGCAACCGUGCACACGUCUGCGCCAUCCAUAUGAUUGGGCAGCGUGCCAGAGCGACUCGGGCGCAUGUCUCACCCGGCCCUCGCGCACUGCCUGCUGGUGCGGGUGGGGGGGGCUGAGCCAUGCCCCGAGGAGGGAUGCACGAGGGCUGGCGGCCGGCAUGAUGGGGGAGCGGCUGUGAGGCGAGACCUGCGAGGCAAAGAGAGGGGGAGAGAGAGGUUGGUAGGGCACGAGGCAGGGGGGCCGUGCUCUCAGAUGGCUGAGUGGGCGCACUGCUGCAGCGCGUGUGUCCACGACUGCUUCGCACCACGCUGGUGGGACCUGUGCGCCUGCGGGGCUCGAGUGGCGUUUGAUCUCCUGUGCUGUAGCGGAGAAGGGGCACGUGGAAAAGAAAAAGUUUUCCAUUGGAAGGGUGGGAGCUUUUUUUCUUGGGAAGAUGGCCAUGACCACGAUGCGGCAGUUUUUGUUUCUGCUUUGCGACAGAGUUUAACUUCUUCGUCUCGCCCAUCUCUCCGUCUCGGGCGAUGAGUGGGUGAGAGGGAGAGCUGAUGUGUGCCUGUCUCAAAAGACGCACGGGGCUGCAGAGAGUGCCGCAUUUUGUUCUUUCUUCUUCCUGGCGACGACGCGUAGCCGGCCUGCUCGUAUGUCGUGUUGCUCCUGGUGUUGUGUAUGCGUGCGCCAUUGUGCACCGAGGAGACUUUUGAGAUGGUGCAUCCGCAGGAGAGGGAAAUCCGCGUGUGUGCGUGGCAUCGCACGGGAUGAGAGCCGCUGUGCAAGAGUCUCGUUUGCAAAUUAGCCCCGUCGCCGCGUACUCGGCACCGUUUAUGCUACCGAGGAUCGACGAGAGAAAGGGUCGAGGAAGCGGAAAGGAUACUCUACGGAAGCGUGGAAGUGCAGAUUUCAAAGCAAACCGAAGACUCUAUAUGACUUUGAGGAUUCUGUGAGGCGCAAUAGCCGUUGUCUUUUCGCCCUUGUGUCUGCUUCAUAUACAGCGAGCAUGACCUGUGGAUCGUCCGCGCCUAGCGCCGCUAUCCCUCUUUUUGAGAAGACUGUAUGCGGGCGCACACACGCGCGCAUUGCGGUCUGGUCGCCUCGCGUGAGACGAGGGGAGGGAGCAGUGGCCGCGUUUGUUUUUUUCGACCCCUCUCUUUUCUAUUCGAAAUCCUGUGGGGGGGGGGGCUACUGAUGCACCUCGCCCUGCAUGCGGUGCACCUUCUCUCUCUCCCCCUUACUUUCCUUCCAG
rnacentral:misc_RNA from 1 species